GAUGAACGCUGGCGGCGUGCCUAAUACAUGCAAGUCGAGCGAACAGAUAAGGAGCUUGCUCCUUUGACGUUAGCGGCGGACGGGUGAGUAACACGUGGGUAACCUACCUAUAAGACCGGGAUAACUUCGGGAAACCGGAGCCAAUACCGGAUAAUAUUUCGAACCGCAUGGUUCGAUAGUGGAAGAUGGUUUUGCUAUCACUUAUAGAUGGACCCGCGCCGUAUUAGCUAGUUGGUAAGGUAACGGCUUACCAAGGCGACGAUACGUAGCCGACCUGAGAGGGUGAUCGGCCACACUGGAACUGAGACACGGUCCAGACUCCUACGGGAGGCAGCAGUAGGGAAUCUUCCGCAAUGGGCGAAAGCCUGACGGAGCAACGCCGCGUGAGUGAUGAAGGUCUUCGGAUCGUAAAACUCUGUUAUUAGGGAAGAACAUACGUGUAAGUAACUGUGCACGUCUUGACGGUACCUAAUCAGAAAGCCACGGCUAACUACGU
rnacentral:rRNA from 1 species